AGAGUUUGAUCAUGGCUCAGAAUCAACGCUGGCGGCGUGCCUAACACAUGCAAGUCGAACGCGAAAGGGGCUUCGGCUCUGAGUAGAGUGGCAAACGGGUGAGUAACGCGUGGGUGACCUGCCCUUGAGUGGGGGAUAACGUUCCGAAAGGGACGCUAAUACCGCAUAACAUCCUGCUUUUGAACAGGCGGAAAUCAAAGCUGGGGAUCGCAAGACCUGGCGCUUGAGGAGGGGCCCGCGUCCGAUUAGCUAGUUGGUGGGGUAAAAGCCUACCAAGGCGACGAUCGGUAGCCGGCCUGAGAGGGCGGACGGCCACACUGGGACUGAGACACAGCCCAGACUCCUACGGGAGGCAGCAGUGGGGAAUUGUUCGCAAUGGGCGCAAGCCUGACGACGCAACGCCGCGUGGAGGAUGAAGGUCUUCGGAUUGUAAACUCCUGUUGACCGGGAAAAAUUUCUGCGGGGGUAAUAUCCCCGCAGGGUGAUGGUACCGGUUGAGGAAGCCCCGGCUAACUCUGUGCCAGCAGCCGCGGUAAUACAGAGGGGGCAAGCGUUGUUCGGAAUUACUGGGCGUAAAGGGCGCGUAGGCGGCCAACUAAGUCGGACGUGAAAUCCCCGGGCUCAACCCGGGAACUGCGUCCGAUACUGGAUGGCUUGAAUCCGGGAGAGGGAUGUGGAAUUCCAGGUGUAGCGGUGAAAUGCGUAGAUACCUGGAGGAACACCGGUGGCGAAGGCGGCAUCCUGGACCGGUAUUGACGCUGAGGCGCGAAAGCCAGGGGAGCAAACGGGAUUAGAUACCCCAGUAGUCC
rnacentral:rRNA from 1 species